AUUGAACGCUGGCGGCAGGCCUAACACAUGCAAGUCGAGCGGAGCGGGGGACGGGUGAGUAAUGCCUAGGAAUCUGCCCGGUAGUGGUGGAUAGGGUCAGGAAACGGGCGGUAAUCCCGCAUCCUAUGAGAUGAGGCUAGGUCGGAGUGGCUAGUUGGUGGGGUAAAGGCCUAGCAGGGCGACGAGCCGGAACUGGUCUGAGAGGCUGAACAGUCACACGGGAACGUAGACACGGUCAAGACUCCUACGGUAGGCAGGAGGGGGGAAGAUUGGACAAUUGGCGAAAGCCUGAUAGAGCCAUGCCGCGUGUGGGAAGAAGGUAUUAGGGUUGUAAGGCACUUUAAGUUGGGAGGCGGUAGCAACAGAAGAAGCACCGGCUAACUACGUGCCAGCCGCCGCGGUAAUUC
rnacentral:rRNA from 1 species